rnacentral:rRNA from 1 species
CAGCAGCCGCGGGAAAACGUAGGUGGCAAGCGUUGUCCGGAAUUAUUGGGCGUAAAGGGCUCGCAGGCGGUUUCUUAAGUCUGAUGUGAAAGCCCCCGGCUCAACCGGGGAGGGUCAUUGGAAACUGGGAAACUUGAGUGCAGAAGAGGAGAGUGGAAUUCCACGUGUAGCGGUGAAAUGCGUAGAGAUGUGGAGGAACACCAGUGGCGAAGGCGACUCUCUGGUCUGUAACUGACGCUGAGGAGCGGAAGCGUGGGGAGCGAACAGGAUUAGAUACCCCUGUAGUCCCUGUCUCUUAUAC